ACUGAUGAUGGCGACUACAACAUCAAAUUGCGCAAUAUCAAGCGCUUUUUGGAAGACGGCGACAAGUGCAAGAUUACUUUGCGCUUUCGCGGUCGGGAAAUUACCCACCAGGAAUUGGGCUUGGCUUUGCUCGCACGUAUCCGUGACGAGUUGGCCGAUUUGAUCGUGGUGGAGCAGUUCCCCAAGCUCGAAGGCCGGCAGAUGGUCAUGAUGAUCGCGCCGGGCCGCAAGAAGGUCGCAGCCAAGCCGUCGGCAGAGGCUACGCCUUCCGCUGCGAGCUGAGCGAUUCGGCUGUAGAGAUGAAACAAGGGCUUGCUGGUUUUUAAUCAGC
rnacentral:misc_RNA from 1 species